UACGUAGGGUGCAAGCGUUGUCCGGAAUUAUUGGGCGUAAAGAGCUCGUAGGUGGUUUGUCGCGUUUGUCCGUGAAAACUCACAACUCAAUUGUGGGCGUGCGGGCGAUACGGGCAGACUGGAGUACUGCAGGGGAGACUGGAAUUCCUGGUGUAGCGGUGGAAUGCGCAGAUAUCAGGAGGAACACCGAUGGCGAAGGCAGGUCUCUGGGCAUUAACUGACGCUGAGGAGCGAAAGCAUGGGGAGCGAACAGG
rnacentral:rRNA from 1 species